UACGUAGGGACCGAGCGUUGUCCGGAAUCAUUGGGCGUAAAGAGCGCGUAGGCGGCCAGAUAAGUCCGGUGUGAAAGUCAAAGGCUCAACCUUUGAAUGCCGCUGGAAACUGUCUGGCUAGAGUCCGGGAGGGGCGAGUGGAAUUCCUGGUGUAGCGGUGAAAUGCGCAGAUAUCAGGAGGAACACCAAUGGCGAAGGCAGCUCGCUGGAACGGUACUGACGCUGAGGCGCGAAAGCGUGGGGAGCGAACAGG
rnacentral:rRNA from 1 species